CUGAAACUAAGUCAAGUGGCUGCCAAAAGAAAAAGAAACGUGGUUUCCAACUGAGGAGCUAUGGAGAGAAUGAAUGGAAUAUAUCCGUGUACAGGUGGAAGAGUCUACCAGUCCUGGCUGGCCCCACUUCUCUCAGGUUUUAUCUACAGCUGUCAUCAGCAGGAUCUUCAUGGGAACCAUGACGAGGUCCAGCUAUCCUCGUGCCUGUGAGAACCCUGGUGCCUUUUCAACCCUACAGCUAAAAGUGUUUCAGUAGCAGAAUGGGAUUCAAGAGGGUGAAUCAGAACUGAAGCCCCUCUGUGGAUGACCUCUGGAACCACACCUACAACUGACUAACAACCAGGACAUGAUCCUUUAUGGCACAACUCUUAUCAUUUUUCCAAACUCUGCCUAGUCUUGGAGCAUCGCCCAUCAACCUGACAGCCAACUUCAUUUAAAGACAUAACCCUUGGCCAGG
rnacentral:lncRNA from 1 species